rnacentral:rRNA from 1 species
UACGGAGGGUGCAAGCGUUUAUCCGGAUUCACUGGGUUUAAAGGGUGCGUAGGUGGGUUGGUAAGUCAGUGGUGAAAUCCCCGUGAUUAACUUGGGAACUGCCAUUGAUACUAUCAGUCUUGAAUACCGUGGAGGUCAGCGGAAUAUGUCAUGUAGCGGUGAAAUGCUUAGAUAUGACAUAGAACACCAAUUGCGAAGGCAGCUGGCUACUCGGAUAUUGACACUGAGGCACGAAAGCGUUGGGGAUCAAACAGG